rnacentral:lncRNA from 1 species
GAAUUCAACCACGAUGGAGUGAAGGAGUCAACGCGUGAAGCAAAGCUCAAAUGGAGUUGUCAUUCCAUCGGGGGUCAGGUACGUUUGGGAUAUGAUGACAAAGACAGGCUAUAGCUGACUUUUUUUUUAUGAAGCAUACACGUAGCUUUAUUAAAAAUAAAGAAAACUCGUUACUCCCGUCUUUUCUAAUUUUAUGCGUUACUCUUUCAAAAGUCUCAAAGAUUUGACAAUCUUUAUUACUAUACUAAAUUAGCUACAUGUUUUGAUACAAUUUAUAUAUUAUACUUACAUAUUUUUUCUUUUCAUGACUUUUUCAUUAUAAAGUAUUUUACUUAGUACUCUUAAAUAAGUUUCUUUAAGAAUUUUUUUCAUCUUCUCUUAAGGCAUUUAAGUGAGUCAACAUAAAAACUGGGAAUAGAGGGAGUAAUAUCGCAUUGAGCCCAUUUUAGUCUUGUCAUGCCUCUCUCAAUUUUAACUUUAUGUGUUGUCAAUUUAUUCAUUUUUACAUUGAAUUUAUCAUUAAAUUCAGAUGGAACAUCUUACUAACAGAUCUCUCAUUAUUUGUAGUUUAUUAUUAUUUCUAUUUAAACUUGAAUGUUUUCUUUAUUGGAUAUACUACAAAGCAAAGGAGUUCACCAAAGUCUGUGAUCCGAGGAAGAUGAAGUAUACACAAAUUGUAAUAUUUUUCACUUAUUAUUUGCAUGUCGCAAAAGGUCAGACUCACAUCUCUUGUAUUUUUCAUUCUUUAUAUGAUAUAUACACUAAUUGAAAGUGUUAUUUAUUACAUCACUUAGUAGAUAUUAGUUAACAAAAAUGAUCGACCUUUUGUUUAUCACAUAGAAUUCCCCACGUGAUAUGUGAAUUUAGACGGAAACCAUAUUUGUGGACCUUGAAAGGUGCCUAACACCUUUCUUUCGAGGUAAUUUAAAUUUUUACCCGAACUUCUGAUGAUGCAUACUAAUUAAUUGGUUCGUAAUUAGCCUAAAAUGGUGCCCUAAUGAUGACUGGUAAAUUUACCACUCAUUUGCACUCAUUAUUCGUGUAAGCUAUCAUGUUUUGAAGGAAUAAAGAAGACCAUAAUUGUAAUUAAAUGCACUAAUAUUCAUAUUUUGUAGGCACGUAGUUGAUGAAAUAAAAAGGUAUGGAUUGGAGCUAAGAAGGGGUCAAAUGGAAGCAAAUGAGUGCAGCUAGAGACCUGGAGCAGAUACAGCCUCAGCUACAGCAAUUGCGGUCUGAGGGUCACGAUUGCGGCC